rnacentral:rRNA from 1 species
AUUGAACGCUGGCGGCAUGCUUUACACAUGCAAGUCGAACGGUGACAGGCCGCAAGGUGCUGACGAGUGGCGAACGGGUGAGUAAUGUAUCGGAACGUGCCCAGUCGUGGGGGAUAACGCAGCGAAAGCUGCGCUAAUACCGCAUACGAUCUAUGGAUGAAAGCGGGGGACCGUAAGGCCUCGCGCGAUUGGAGCGGCCGAUAUCAGAUUAGGUAGUUGGUGGGGUAAAGGCUCACCAAGCCAACGAUCUGUAGCUGGUCUGAGAGGACGACCAGCCAAACUGGGAAUGAGACACGGCCCAGACUCCUAAGGGAGGCAGCAGUGGGGAAUUUUGGACAAUGGGCGCAAGCCUGAUCCAGCAAUGCCGCGGGCAGGAAGAAGGCCUUCGGGUUGUAAACUGCUUUUGUACGGAACGAAACGGUCUGGGUUAAUACCUCGGGCUAAUGACGGUACCGUAAGAAUAAGCACCGGCUAACUACGUGCCAGCCGCCGCCGUAAAAC